UCUCUGUUUACUCAGUGGCCCUGCUUCUUGGGCCAAAAUUAACAGCAAAGGCCACAGUGAAAUGGUGAUUUGUGGACGAAUUUAGCCAAAAGAAACCGCUGGUCUCAUGUGUCUAUUUAGAGCAGACGUCUUGCGCUCUCAUCCAGGGCUGCAUGGGGCCCACACGUGGACCUGGUUUGACCCUUGUAUCAGGAGAAUUCUCUGCUGUUAUUAACUGCAAGAGAGGCCCCCAUGUGAAAACCUUGACCUCUGGCUGCCCUGCACUGCCCUGGGGAUGUGGGAACUCGGGCUGACAGACCUCCCGCACGGCUGAAGCUCUACUCUACAAUGUACAUUGAUGUCUAGGGACAGAUCUCUCUGCAUAUUAAUGCAUCCCUGGUGACUGUCUUUUUAAUGGAGGUGUUUAAAUACUGAAUGCCAUUAAUCUCUAGGUCAGGGACUGGGUCUCAUUAGUCCUCUGGAUGAGGGCUUCUAUUUAGAUCUAGAACUUUAACACGCACACACAAAAUUGUAGAACAUCUUUAAAACAUUUUCAAACAAAGCAAGAGAGAAUUUUCUAAGAAUACCUAGUGCUCCAAGUCAAGAGGACUGUAAGUUAAUAGAAAGUCUGCUUUGUUUUCACUUAGUUCGGAAUGAAGACCAACCACUUAAAUGCCUGCACAUCUUUCUGUGCCUUGUACUUAUCAACUUCGCAAAACAAAUAAAUGAAGUUUCGAAGGAGCCAAACCCAACACAAGCCCUGACUUCUGCUGAAAAAUAACUAAUAAAACAUAAACCAUGACAGCAAAUACCCUCGGCACUGGUUGACAUUUCCAGUUACAUUUUCUGGGGCCUAAAAUACAAGACAGGGAAUGAUCACUUUAUGGGACAAAUAUCACUGCAAAUGCCAU